rnacentral:lncRNA from 1 species
CCAGAUUCUCUUCAAAAGGACGAAGGCUUUUGGUGGGGAAAUAGGCACUCAGAAGCUUGGGAUCUGUCGCAAUGCCCGUGUUUGUGAUGUUGUGGUCGGAACAGAGUGGAGAUUCCGAAGCACUCGUGACCGCACGCUCCAGGUCAUCUGAUGCAGCGCAUCUUCACUGGUUUACAGCUCGGUUCAUUACUGAACCGAGAUAAUGCUUAUCCCCUUUCUUUACGUUGGCUUUGGUGUUUAUCUCUUAAGUUAUUUGUUUUAUUAAUAGUUUAGAUAAGUCCUAAUGAAGUCGGUGUUUAGAUUAGCUAUUUAAUAGAGUCGUCGUCUUUGUAACGAACUCACCUUUUACAUUGAAAUAAUAUAGAGCUUUUGCAAAGUUCCUCUAAUCUCUUGUUAUCGGCAUUCUUUGAAUCAACGAGAACAAGAACAAAGCAGAGUUUGGGUAUUCUUCGACUAAACAAACCCUCUUUGACCCUAUCUAUUCGUAUACGCUGCGCCAGUUUGGUAUCAGAGCCAGGCUCGUUCCCGACCUAAAUUUUUUUUUUCUACACCUUUCUUUUCAGUUCUAAUGGCUCCACGACGCACCAACAACACUGAGUUUCCAUUGAAUGAAUGGGAAGAAUUGAGGCGAACACUCGUCACGAUGCAGGAAACCAUGCAACAGACAAUCCAUGAUUCACUAAGAGAUCUGUCUGAAGCGUUGUACCUACGUCAAGAUCGUGACCGUGAUGAGCAACGAAGGUAUGAUCGUGACAGAGAUCGUGUUCAACCGGUGGUUGACGAUGGGUCAACUGAUGAGGAGGGUAACCCCUUCGCUGACGAAGAUCAACAGCGACAAAACAGGGGGUUCCGUUAUAACCGAGACCGUGAAGACAGAAGUUGGGAAAUAGGUUUCAAAGUGGAGCUUCCGGAGUUUCAUGGCGGCACCCAUGGAGAAGAACUUCUGGACUGGUUGGUCGCGGUUCAAGAGAUGCUGGAAUUUAAACGUGUCCCUGAAGCAAGAAAGGUCGCGUUAGUGGCAACGAAAUUUCGGGGCAAAGCAGCAUCGUGGUGGUUACAGUUGAAAGCUUCUCGUAUUCGCGCAGGAAAGGGAAGCAUUGCCACGUGGGAAAAGUUCGAAAAAGUCAUGAGGAAGACGUUCCUUCCUUAUAACUUUGAUCGCACCAUGUUCACAAGGUUGCAAAACCUUCGACAAGGUCCUCGUUCCGUGGAUGACUAUGCAGAGGAAUUUUCGUUGCUUUUGACUCGCAAUGAAAUAUUGGACAGUGAGGUUCAAUUGGUGUCGCGAUUCAUUGGCGGUUUGAGACCUCAAUUGCAGAAUGCAAUGUCACAAUUUGAUCCUAUUACGGUGGCUGAAGCGCACCGUCGUGCGGUGGCCUUUGAACUGUAGUUCAAACCGUCGACACAGACUUGGAAUUCGUCAGCAAAAUCACGUUUUCCACCUAGCUCCUCCGAUGCAAACAAUCAGACACAAACAGCAAAGGACACGGGUGAACCACAGACUACGCGACAACAAUCAACAGUGCGAACUAACAACACAACAGAGGACUUACGGCGUUCGACACGACCAAACGCGCUUCGAUGUUUCACUUGUGGCGAGCAGGGACAUCGUCAAACAGCAUGUCCCAACGCCACGAUGCGUGGUCUACUCACAGAUGAAGUCAAGUGGGAUGAUGAUGGUUUGGAUCAGAAAAAUGACGCUUUGGAGGAUAUUAUAGAAGAUCACAAUGAAGGCGAUCAAGGCACGGUACUAAUGCUUCGCUGUAUCUGUCUCGCACCUAUGAGACAGGACGAUCAACCUUGGCUGAGGACCAAUAUUUUCGCGUCGACCUGUACUGUCAAAGGAAAGAUUUGCCGUUAUGUGAUCGAUUCUGGCAGCUCGCGCAAUGUGAUUUCUGAAAUGGCGGUGGAAAAACUUGGUUUACGACGUUCAGACCAUCCAACCCCAUACAAGCUAGUAUGGCUUAAAGCAGGCUCGGAGAUUCGAGUAGUUCAGUGUGCUCUUGUCUCUCUCUCUAUUGGAUCUUAUUACAAAGAUAAGAUCUACUGUGAUAUUGUUCCAAUGGAUGUCAGUCACAUACUUUUGGGUAGACCGUGGCAAUAUGACAGAGACGUCUCGCAUAGUGGCAGGAGCAAUGUCUACAGUUUCUUCUUUGAGAAUCGCAGAAUCGUGUUGCUACCAAACCAAGAAGAUCCAUUAGUGGCUGCUCCAACUAAUCAGAAGGUCGCGCCUCAUCUCCUGGAAGGCACGGGAUCGAGCGACACAGUCUUAUUCUGCUCCCAUUCUGUGUUUACUCAAGAGUUACAGGAAACAAAGUUUACUCUAGCAAUCAUGGCAAUCCCUGCUACUAAUUCCUCAACAACAACAACAGAUCCAGCGAUAACUACACUUUUGGAGGAGUUCGGUGAUGUCUUUCCUUCAGACUUACCAUUGGGCUUACCUCCUUUGCGUGACAUACAGCACCAAAUCGACCUCAUUCCUGGCGCUUCUUUGCCAAACCGACCUCACUACCGUAUGAGCCCGCAGGAACACGAAGAAUUGCGCAAACAAGUAGAAGCAUUACUCGCAAAGGGACAUAUCAGAGAGAGCCUCAGUCCCUGCGCAGUGCCAGCUUUACUCAUCCGUAAGAAAGAUGGGUCUUGGCGCAUGUGCGUUGACAGCAGAGCAGUCAACAAGAUUACAGUACGCUAUAGGUUUCCGAUCCCACGUUUGGAUGAUUUGUUGGAUCAGAUCGGCUCGGCUAAAGUGUUCUCCAAGCUCGACCUGAAGAGUGGAUAGCACCAGAUUCGCAUACGGCCAGGUGAUGAGUGGAAAACAGCUUUCAAGACGCGCGAAGGGUUGUUUGAGUGGCUCGUCAUGCCAUUUGGACUCUCUAACGCGCCUAGUACAUUCAUGCGAAUCAUGAACCAGGCGUUGCGACCAUUCAUUGGCAAAUUUGUCGUCGUAUAUUUCGACGACAUACUAGUAUUCAGCAACUCCUUGGAAACGCACAUCGAUCAUCUCCGCCAGGUCCUCUCUGUGCUGCGUCGCGAUCAGCUAUAUGUCGCUAGACAAAAGUGUGAAUGGGGCGUGGACUCAGUCUUGUUUUUGGGCUAUGUUGUCUCGCGACAAGGCCUAUCAAUGGAUAUGAGUAAGGUUGAGGCUAUAAGAGCUUGGCCAUCACCUACGUCGAUUUCAGCGGUACGAAGCUUUCACGGUUUGGCUUCAUUUUAUCGACGAUUUGUGGCACAUUUCAGUACUAUCAUGGCGCCAAUCACAGAGUGUAUGAAGGGCACAACGUUUGCAUGGACGCCAGAAGCUGCGGCUGCCUUUGAAUUGAUCAAGAUAAAGCUAACGACAGCUCCAGUUCUAAUCCUGCCUGAUUUUUCUGAGAUGUUCGAGCUUCACUGCGACGCCUCGAAGCUAGGCAUCGGUGCUGUCCUUAGCCAGCAGUCGCGCCCUGUCGCCUUCUACAGUGAGAAACUCUCUGGCGCUAGAAGCCGGUACAGUACGUAUGAUGUAGAAUUCUACGCAGUGGUUCAAUCUAUUCGCCAUUGGAGACAUUAUCUUGUUCAUCGCGACUUUGUUCUUUUCACGUAUCAUGACGCGUUGAAGCAUCUUGACAGCCAGGUGAAAGUUUCUGCUCGUCACGCAAGCUGGAUCGCGUACCUACAACAGUUCACAUUCACCAUUCGUCACAAGUCUGGCAAAUUAAAUCGCGUCGCUGAUGCUUUAAGUCGAUGCCAUACCCUGCUCACAACGUUACAUGCCUCAGUGCCUGGAUUCUCUUGUUUCUCAGAGCUUUACGAGUCGGACCCGUUCUUUGCGAGCAUAUUACCUGACGUGCAAGCAGGAAGCAACAGCGAUUACACGCUGGUGGAUGGGUUUUUGUUUCGAGGUUCACAGCUCUGUCUACCUGAUUGCAGCUUACGACUUCGUGUGAUUGAGGAAUUACAUAACGAGGGACACAUUGGACGCGACAGAACCCUGCAACUCAUCACGGCGUCGUAUUAUUGGCCGACUGUUCGGAGGGAUGUGGAGCGCUUUGUUGAACGCUGUCGCCAGUGUCAAUUGGCAAAAGGUCAGGCCUCUAACGCGGGCUUAUACAUGCCACUCCCAAUUCCAACUCAGCCUUGGACUGAUGUGAGCAUGGACUUCGUGCUUGGCCUCCCACGCACACAGCGAGGUAAUGAUUCGAUAUUUGUCGUGGUUGAUCGUUUCUCUAAGAUGGUGCACUUCAUUGCCUGUAAGCGGACAACAGAUGCAGUUCGGGUAGCCCAAUUGUUUUUCAGCGAAGUAUAUCGUCUACAUGGGCUUCCUACAUCCAUAGUAUCAGACAGAGACACUCGAUUCUUAAGCCAUUUUUGGCGGUCCUUAUGGAAGAAGCUACACACGAGCUUGGACAUGAGUACAGCGUACCAUCCGCAGUCUGAUGGGCAAACGGAGGUUGUCAAUCGUUCCCUUGGCAACAUGUUGCGAGCGUUAGUCGGGGACAACAUUCGCGCGUGGGAAUCUCGCCUAUGUCAUGCGGAGUUUGCUCACAAUCAUGCUACUAAUCGCAGUACAGGUUUCAGUCCGUUUCAGAUUGUCUACGGCAUCGUCCCUCGUUGUCCUCUUGAUCUGGCCCCAUUGCCUGAUCCCAAGCGUCUUCACGGACAAGCUUCUGAUUUCGUCUCGGCUCUGCAGGAAACACAUAAGUUGGUUGUUCAAAAUUUGGAGGCUGCAACUGAACGUUAUAAGGCACGCGCAGACACUCGGCGACGUCAACUGAUCUUUGCUCCGGGUGACUUAGUGUGGGUGGUCCUCACCAAGGAUCGUCUUCCUGCCCACGAAUACAACAAACUCCGGUCUCGCAAAAUAGGUCCAGUUACAGUGUUAGAGCGUAUCAACGACAACGCUUACCGCCUUCAGCUCCCUGAUCAUAUCAAGACCGCAAAUGUGUUUAAUGUGAAGUUCCUGUCGAAGUUCCAUGGUGAUAACACAGACCAAGAUUCAGAGGCGAAUCUUCUCGUACCCGGGGAGACCUGAUGCAGCGCAUCUUCACUGGUUUACAGCUCGGUUCAUUACUGAACCGAGAUAAUGCUUAUCCCCUUUCUUUACGUUGGCUUUGGUGUUUAUCUCUUAAGUUAUUUGUUUUAUUAAUAGUUUAGAUAAGUCCUAAUGAAGUCGGUGUUUAGAUUAGCUAUUUAAUAGAGUCGUCGUCUUUGUAACGAACUCACCUUUUACAUUGAAAUAAUAUAGAGCUUUUGCAAAGUUCCUCUAAUCUCUUGUUAUCGGCAU